GAACUAAUAACACAGUGGUGCAGGAAAAUGUAUCAUAUAAAAUAUAUAUUACUAUCGAUUUAAUGAUUGCACCUCCUUUAGAUACAAGUGGUAAAUGUAUAUUAAAAGGGCAAAAAAAAACUCGCUUGCAGCAAGGUCCAUCCUACAAAUUUCUUUACAAUUGUAUUUUUGUUUUGGGACUUUAGAAUAUCGCUGAUAUGGCUUUGGUGAAGUUCAUCAAUAGGUACAAUCGGCUACUAUUUUGAGGGCUCAGCACUGACUGUUUAGGAAAAAACUUUUUUAACCGACCUCAAGAUUCAGGUGCUGGGCUACGUCAAAAUUAGGGUUGAGAGGAAAGAAAAUUAUGGGAAGGGCUUGGAAGGAAGUUUUUCAUGUUGUAAAACAAGCAGAAUUGCAUCACAAGCGGUGCUUAGGAUAUAAGUGAUGGAUCGAAUCCAAUAGCUUGUCCAGUACUGGGGAGGCCUACGCCAUUCACGUACAUGAACUUGCUUGGUCCGUGGAUGAGAAUGAAGUAUUCUAAGUAACAGAUGAGCUGGACAUCAAGCUGACUGGCCAGAGAAGUAAUAAUUACAUCCAGCAGUUAGAAACUUGUUUCUAGAGUUCUCUGGUGGGCACCUGUAGAGGCAUGUGUCUACUGCAUGCUUCAGGAUGAAUAUAGAAGGCCAUACAGAUGGCUAGUUUAUCGACCACCAAAAUCUGAUUGAAGCAGCAGCUGUAGAGAGAUUGGUUUUGGUUCAUCUCAUUUUAAAAAGAAUUAUGCCUGCUCAUUUUUUCUCAUCAGCAUUGUUAACUGCAUGACACAAUUUGUGCAGAAUCUUGAGCUGUAGAGAGAUUGGUGUUGGUUCAUCUCAUUCUAAGAAGCAUUCUGCUUCAUUAGGAUUAUGUGAUGUUUUUCCUGCAAACUCUGCCCAUUUUUAUGUUGUCCACAUUUUGACUGCAUGAUACAAUUUGGGCAGACUCUUGAGAAGAACACCAUUCAAAUCCAAAUCUACCUCACCAGAUGUAUGGCCAGUACUGGAUUGGAAGAAAUCUGGGAUUCCAAAUGUUAUGAGAGAAGAUUGCUGUCGGCAGCAGUUUCAAUCGACCCCAUUCUUCAAUGGGACUUCUUCAUUAAACAUGAGCCUCUACACACAGCAAGGAUCUCUUUAGAAUGGAUUCCAUUCUGGAUCCAUCAAGGUGGUUUUAGAGACAAAGGCAAUGAGUGGAGAUGCCAAGGAUUUCCUCUGUAGUGCCAUGAAGAACAAUGGCGCUGAUGUUCUAGAGUUGGGAAGUCAUGGAAAAAGACCUAUUAAGAGACAUGGAUCGUGGGCAAAUGGAUUGCCUUCAAGGAGGAGAAAUGUGCGCCCCUUGGAUUCCACUUCCAUCAAUUUGUGGUUCCACCAAUAUUUGAGUUGAGGAAUGACUGCGCCUAUGGAAAAUUGGUAGGCACGCAAUUUCGCCAUGCUGUGGAAGAACUUUUAACUUGUGAAGAGUAUAAUGUUCAAGCAAGUAACAUAAACAAUAAAUGUUUUUCUAUUGGAACCUUUAAAGACUGUUUACCAAAUUUUUUAAAUGAGGGUUCUGCUGCAAAGUUGUUUAUGCAUAAGGAAGGUCGCAAGGGUCCCCAGCUUACAAAUACCGUGAGGGUAUUACUUCUCACCUUGAUACAGAACUAAAAAAAUCAUCCUUUCAGCAUUUCAAAUGUCUUUUUUUUUUUAAGUUUCAUGUGAUAGGGAUACAUGUCUCUGAAAUUUGAGUUCUUAUCUUGCGUUGUGUACUAAUUGACUACUGUUCAGCAAAUUUACAAACAGGUCAGUGCCAAUUUCUCAUGAAUUAAAGACCAUACAGCUUAUUACUGUAACUGAAAUGUACUUAGCACAUGUAGCAACAUUAGCAAAAGAGUUAAAAGUAUGUUCUCUGAUUGUUAAUAACAAUGCAUAAACAUUCAGGAAAAGAGCUAAAAUCAUGUUCUCUGUUAAUCUUUACUUUUGUGCUCAAAUAAAUUUAGUUGUUGAAAUUACCUAUCAAACUGACGAAUGAUUAUAAUGAAAAAAAACUAUG